GUGAUUACUCUGAUUACUGAUCAUCAUGGCCAACCAUAUGGAACCGGUUGCUCGGAGUUAUGUCACACCUUGAUGAGCGCAACUCGCACCCUAUUCCCCUGACAACUGAAUGGGAGCAUCUCCACUACUGAAUUGAUGAAUCAAUAUGAAUAUAUUUGGGAGUUGAUUAGACACGGGAUAAGCACGCACUGAAAGCGUGGAGAACUUGGCGGGGUAUAAAAUCUGGUGCCAGCAUCAACAGUCAGCUGGACACUUGGACUGCACGGGUUGCACGUGAGAGAUUGAACAUGGUAUCCUGGAACACUCUCGUGGUCAACAGCUUGUUGGUGGCUGCUGUCUGCCUGGCAACGGCGACAGCCAGUAUCUUUCCAGAUGAAGACUUUGGCUACAGACACUACGCAAAGAGGGAAAUCAGCUCUGAUUGUUUGAACUGCGCGCGCACAUACAACUACUUCGUGUGUCUCCGAUGCUGGAGCAGCAAGUAUGCCGUUAUUCCAUUUCACUCAAAGAGGUCGUCUGAUACGUCUGCAAUUGAAUUCACCGGAAGUGAGCCUAUGUCACGUGACAGGCGCUUCGUCGGCUGUAACUGCUGUUUGGUCAGCCGGUUCACCAACUCCUACUGCUGUGACGUAUGCGGCAGCUCCAGUAAGAGAGCGGCGAAGAGGAGUGACGGCGUAAGUCUAACGUCAGAACCGGAGAAGCGGAUGAACCCAGCUUGCCUCUGUUGCAGCAGAUCUGGCUCCCUAGGAUGCUGCGAAGACUGUAUGUCAAGCUUUGUUCAAUACUGAAACUGAGAACCGUAUAUUUACAUGAAAACUUUGACGUAACUUGAGAUUGACUGAAGGAAACCGAUUCUAAUUCCGUAUUACAGCAGCAAGACUCAUUUGAAAGCGAUGUCACCGUAUCGUAAGCUCAAACAAGCAUGGCAGAUGAAUAUUUUAGAGGACAAAUGAUGGUACAUCUGAGCAAUAGAAACUGCUAGGUCAUGUAUUCACUCGCCCCGUUUCUCUAACGGUAAUGAAGGUCUUAAAGUCAGAGCUAACAUUACCUGCUAAUGACAACGUGGAUAAUGGCUUGACUAAUGUCGAAGAUGGAUAUGGAAUCGUCAUAUAUCAUGCAGAACACGUCACUUGGGGCACGAGUUCUCGAAACUAUCCUAAAUCAUGAGCAUAUACAAGUCAAUCACAUUGUGUCGGUAACUAUCACUUCAUGUUUUACCUGUGGAACUUCUACUUUGACUGUUUCGGUAGAAGGUAUCUUUCGUGUUUUACUCGCGUACAUGUAUAUUAUAUGAUUUUGUAAAUAAUGUGUGUGUUUCCGCGCUCAGAAGUAAAUGUUUUGGCGUAUCGAUAUUUCUGAAUUUCUGAAGACAUGUCUCGAAUUUGAAAAUAAUCUUGGUCACAUUUGAAACAAUGCUUGUAAGUUCGUGAUGUGUGCACUGUUGAGUUUAGAGCACUAGUUUAACGUAUUUGGGAAAAGUAUCAUGUGAUAAUUUUGUCCGGUCAAUAAAACCAAAUGUUUUCACAGUAUAAGGUGGAUAUAUAUGUAAUUUUAUUUGUAAUACAUAUUAGUCAGUGGUUUGUAAUAUGGUAUCCGAAAUGUUCAUUCACCACAUGUAUUGUAUUCGUCUAUCAUUGUAACUUGUGUAAACCUAUAUGAAUGGCAUUUAUUAAAGAUAUUUUUUCAAAACG